UACGUAGGGUGCAAGCGUUAAUCGGAAUUACUGGGCGUAAAGCGUGCGCAGGCGGUUAUGUAAGACAGGUGUGAAAUCCCCGGGCUCAACCUGGGAAUGGCAUUUGGGACUGCAAGGCUUGAGUGCGGCAGAGGAGACUGGAAUUCCUGGUGUAGCAGUGAAAUGCGUAGAUAUCAGGAGGAAUACCGAUGGCGAAGGCAGGUCUCUGGGCUGACACUGACGCUCAUGCACGAAAGCGUGGGGAGCAAACAGG
rnacentral:rRNA from 1 species